CGGCUGUGACUUCCUUUGGCCGGCCUCCCAUCUCGUUCCAUAUCCUGGCAGGGUGAGCAGGGGUGUCUGUAAAAGGCUUGCUUUCCCCUUCUGCGCAGAGCAUGAACUAUUCAUCGUUAUGGGCCGAGAACAGUUCUUGCAGGUUUCCCUCCGUAACCGGGCAAAAACCAGGCCCCAUGCGUAAUUCCCGGCCUGCGUGUGGCUACUUCCAAACGCCUUUCCCCAGCACAAGACCUCAGCUUCUCACUGAAUCUCAGGCCUGGCUUCGUUCUUUGGCCCUGCCGUGGAUUGGGAUUCAGCAGGAUGGCAACUGCAUGGCUGCCCAGGUCCUUCUGGUUGUGCUACGUGGGACACUGACUCAGCAUGGCCUGAUGAGUGGUGCCAGGUCCGCGCCCAGGAUCCAAACUGGCACACAAAAGACUAGACUGCCCAGCUCUCCGUGGUUAAAUGGAGUCAGGUGGCUGGUUUAUGCCAAUGGGGUUUGAGCUGAAGAGAGAGCUAUCACUCCUCAGCUGAAGCACUGAAGAGCAGGUCAGAGGUCCAGUCUCUCUCUUCCCUGCCAAGGAGACCAAAAGAGUCAUGCGUUCUAGGUGUUGCAGCUACAGAUGGUGGAGCCUCCAUCAGCCUGGAUCCUUGAGCUACUGAUGGAGCAGAAUUUCCCCAACACACACACACCCCUAUCCUUGACUUGCAAUGGACAUGUAGC
rnacentral:lncRNA from 1 species